GAUGAAGAACGCAGCGAAAUGCGAUAAGUAGUGUGAAUUGCAGAAUUCAGUGAAUCAUCGAAUCUUUGAGCGCACAUUGCGCCCGCCAGUAUUCUGGCGGGCAUGCCUGUUCGAGCGUCAUUACAACCCUCAGGCCCCCGGGCCUGGCGUUGGGGAUCGGCGGAAGCCCCCUGUGGGCACACGCCGUCCCUCAAAUACAGUGGCGGUCCCGCCGCAGCUUCCAUUGCGUAGUAGCUAACACCUCGCAACUGGAGAGCGGCGCGGCCAUGCCGUAAAACACCCAACUUCUGAAUGUUGACCUCGAAUCAGGUAGGAAUACCCGCUGAACUUAAGCAUAUCAAAAGCGGAGGA
rnacentral:misc_RNA from 1 species